AUACGGAGGAUGCAAGCGUUAUCCGGAAUCACUGGGUUUAAAGGGUGCGCAGGCGGAAUAGUAAGUCAGAGGUGAAAGCCCACAGCUCAACUGUGGAAUUGCCUUUGAUACUGUUAUUCUUGAGUGUAGUUGAAGUAGGCGGAAUAUAGCAUGUAGCGGUGAAAUGCAUAGAUAUGCUAUAGAACACCAAUUGCGAAGGCAGCUUGCUAAACUAUAACUGACGCUGAGGCACGAAAGCGUGGGGAGCGAACAGGAUUAGAUACCCUGGUAGUCCACGCCGUAAACGAUGAACACUCGCUGUUGGCAAUACACCGUCAGCGGCUGAGCGAAAGCGUUAAGUGUUCCACCUGGGAAGUACGAUCGCAAGGUUGAA
rnacentral:rRNA from 1 species